UCCUCUGCAUACUGGGAGCAC
rnacentral:misc_RNA from 1 species